rnacentral:misc_RNA from 1 species
AACGGUCUAUACCUGCGGUACCUGCGGAAGGAUCAUUACAUGAUUUGAGGGGGCUCACGUCCCCUCAUCCAACCCACAAACCCCGAGGAACUUUUAUGUCGAGUGGUUCGGCGCUCUCUUUGAGAGCCGCCCCUCAAACGCAUCGCAGGCUUUUCGUGAAGGUCUGAUGUGUCACAUCGUGAGUAUUAAAACUUUUAGCAAUGGAUCUCU